AUAGAAUCAGAUAAAACGCUUACACCAAAACAGAAGGGAAUGAACGUAAUGGGAACAAUCGUUUGUCAAUCAUGUCUGAACACCAUUGAGCAUUAUGAGGAUGAAAAGGUUUCUGUUUUAUUCUCUAACUGCUGUAACUGUGAACAUGAUGUGGAACUUGAUGAUUGAUCGAUGAUAUAAAGAAAAGGAUGAAGAGCGACAGAGGCUCUUCAUCCUUUUUU
rfam:Bacillus marisflavi strain JCM 11544 scaffold1, whole genome shotgun sequence.